AGCAGCCGCGGUAAUUCCAGCUCCAAUAGCGUAUAUUAAAGUCGUUGCAGUUAAAAAGCUCGUAGUUGAAUUUCGGGAUCAAUUCUUCGGUCGUGCUUUCGGGUACGUACUGGGGUUAUUGGUUUCUCCCUUCUGACGAACCAUGAUGUCAUUAAUUUGGUGUUAUGGGGAGUUAGGACUGUUACUUUGAAAAAUUAGAGUGUUUAAAGCAGGCAUUAGCUUGAAUACAUUAGCAUGGAAUGAUGAAAUAGUACGUUCGAUCCUAUUUUGUUGGUUUCUAGGAUCAACGUAAUGAUUAAUAGGGAUAGUUGGGGGCAUUAGUAUUCAAUUAUCAGAGGUGAAAUUCUUGGAUUUAUUGAAGACUAACUACUGCGAAAGCAUUUGCCAAGGAUGUUUUCAUUAAUCAAGAACGAAAGUUAGGGGAUCGAAGACGAUCAGAUACCGUCGUAGUCUUAACCGUAAACUAUGCCGACUAGGGAUCGGGAUGGAUUGUUAAUUUUUUAAUGUACUUUCGGCGC
rnacentral:rRNA from 1 species